rnacentral:rRNA from 1 species
CAGCCGCCACGGGAAUACGGAGGAUCCAAGCGUUAUCCGGAUUUAUUGGGUUUAAAGGGUGCGUAGGUGGCUUAUUAAGUCAGGGGUGAAAGACGGUAGCUUAACUAUCGCAGUGCCUUUGAUACUGAUGAGCUUGAAUGAACUAGAGGUAGGCGGAAUGUGACAAGUAGCGGUGAAAUGCAUAGAUAUGUCACAGAACACCAAUUGCGAAGGCAGCUUACUAUGGUUUUAUUGACACUGAGGCACGAAAGCGUGGGGAUCAAACAGGAUUAGAUACCCCCGUAGUCCCUGUCUCUUAUAC